rnacentral:lncRNA from 1 species
GCCGGCGUGAGCGUCGGCGUCCUCGCGCACGAGCUGCGGCUGCGAAGCGCGGCUGUUUAUCUCACGCUGCUGCGGCCGCGUGCGUGGCAGGUUCCCGCACCGGGAUGCCCCCUCUGCCCACACCGGCUUCCAACGCCUGGUUGGCUCCUCCCCACGCCCCUACCGGGCCGAGCCCGCGUCCCGCUUUGCUGUGGACUCCGCGCGUGCGCGGCCCUUUCUCCCUGCCGCCGAUGCCUCCCGAGCCCGCCGCUGUGCGGCCUGCCUGCCCCUCCGGCUCCAGGAGACGCCCUCUGCCGUCACCUCGCUUGGCGUCCAGAUGUAAAGACUGUCUCUUUCCAGCGUUUUCCUGCUGUUACCACGGCGCGGUGACUUCUGAGCUUGCUGUUGGCAUAAAAGAGAAGAGAACAUUCUGGCUGGUUUCAAGAGGAAUCACAGUGAGUUCAAGCUCAAAGGAUGAAUGCCCAGAAGUACCAAAGUUCCUGCCAGAUAAUGAGUCGACUCAGCUGCUGAAGUGUAAAAAACAUUUACAGCGUUGUGGAGGUGGAGAAUAAAACCCCAGCACAAUGUCCCACUUGAGAGUCUCUAGUCCAGCUAAAGACAGCAGUGUGCAGCAGUGUGCGGUGUGUACUUCAGGCCUGUGGUACUGUAUGGGGAAACUACAUUAAAAAACGAGAAAAGUUCAAGUUAUCAAAUAUGCAGUGAUAUGCCGGGAAGCCAUGGGGAUGCCCCAGUUUCUCUCAGUGACUUUUUUGUCCAAACAAAACAAAAAAAGCUUUUCCAAGAGUGCGAGAGCAUGCAUGGCUGCUGGUUCCUUGACAAUGGCAUUUUCAAAGAUGUUUAGUUUAUUUUCUGUCCAUUGCCCUUGCAAGACAACUGGCUGGGAUUAAAGGAAACACUGCA